AUUUGAUAGACAUCCGUGGCACCCAAUAAACGGAUCUGGGCAUUUUUUUCAAAUACGAGAAAAUGAACGUUUGGUUCCCAGACCACGUCUCAUUGAGAAGUGGUGGCGCUAGCCAGGCUAGUAUAAAGUGCUAAUGAUGUACCGUGUUUCAUUCAUACAUAAAUACACUUACUUGGUUACAUUUUUCAUUCUCCCUCAUUUUCAUUCUUGUCCCUGAGGCAAAAAGAAAAUGAUUGAAAAAUGAUUUUGACUUUAUUUAUUUAUCUAUGGUACAACAUUGGUACUUUGUACUAAUGCCCAUACACUGAGCUACUUUCACAUAUUUUCAAGUGCCUACCCCACAUAUAAUUUUAAUUCUAUGAAAAUGACGAAAAACACAACCUUCCCCUUCUUAAAAUCCAUUAUAUGUAGACAACUCAAUUAUUGCUACAACAUUAUGAAAGCAUAGUAUGAAAAUAAAAAAAUAAUGAUUGAUACCAAAUGCAUACAAAAACAAGUUUAUACUACCCUUAAGGUCACUGGUUUUGCACUUUUUUUCCCAAAUCUAUAGCCUUGUAGAAAAUCAAAGAGAAUGUCUUACACACUUUUAAUGAUUCAGUCAUACUGAAAACAUUUCAGUUUUGGUGUCUUCCACCCUAAAAAAGUUUAGGCUGCCUACAAGGGCGUAGGUUUGGUCUACCAUUUCAGUCAAAAAGUGUUUCACACAUCUCAAAUAUUGGUUAAUUGUCAUAGUUACCUGAAAAAAUACACUUGUUGAAUGAUUUCAAUGCAACUUUACUAAAAAUGUCUGGUUUGCUGAUUUAAGAGACACAUUCAAAAAUGAUGAAAGAAACCAUGAGGCCAGUAAUCGCGCUGUUCUUCGCACUGAUGGUGAUGAGUGCACUAGUGUGCAAUGUCUACGCUGGAUGUGAGAAUGGGAGGUGUUAUCGGAAAUGCACUAACGAUGAAUAUAUAGGCCAUCGUUUAUACUGUGGUGGUGGAAAUGUAUGCUGUGUUUAAAAAGGAGAUUUAAAAAAGGAUUUGGGCCACUGCGAUCGCUGAACCGUGGUGAAAAACAUUAACCUUUUAAGAUGGACUUUGUGGAUCAAGCAAUGUGCACAAUUGUUGACAAUAUUUUUUAUAAUUUUUUUAUAAAUGCAUUUAUUUAACAUACACAAGCUGUAAUGGGCCUUCCCAUAACAAAUGAAGACUGGAACCAAAUCAAAGCACUGUGGUGACUGCAACUCUGAUAUUUUGAAAAAUGUGACCACUUUUAAACAGAGGCAGAUACAAACUGCUAGACUAACACUCUGACAAUAACAAGGGGAAACCGUGGUCGAGGUGCUACACCAACAGCCAACUGCAUGGCCCUUUAAUACACAAGAUAGAAAACAGUAGCCAAGGAAACCGCCAACAGGAGUAGAGUAUUAAACAUAUCAAGUAUUCCCAUGGUGUACAGUCACGACUCGAUAAAAAACGUUUACUGAAAUGGUGCUGAUUAUUGCUGGGAGUCAGUCGUUUGAGCAGCAAUGGGCAACUUGUGUACCAAACAAUUAGAGCACCCCUUUGUUGUUUUACAAAUCCAGUAAAAUGCAAGAGGAGGUGAAGAUACACACAUAUCAACCUAAAACCGCACCUAUCAUUCGGUUAGUGAGUCAAUUAUUAGUAUAAGCCAAGCCGAUCAUACUCUGAGUAAUAUUAUUUUGCUGGGUGUUGAGGUGGAAGAACUCUGGACAUCAUUGGCCAGUAAGCAUUACCACUCACAAGCCAAGGUUCCGCAGCAGCUUUUGUUCCAGCCACGGUCCGACUGCUUGCCCCGGACGUUAGGGAGGAAAGAAGAUACCACACCCUCAAUUACAUUCAUAACAUGGAUAUUUAACACUCCACUACGCUCAGGCUCUGGGUCUAUCAAGGAGCUGGGCUAGAGUGCAGUAGUCUGAAAGUUGUGGGUUCAAUUCCUGGCUUCCACCGUUGUGCCCUUGAGAAAGGCACUUAAAGCCAAGUUGCUCCGGGGACAAUGUAAUCCCUUGUCAUAUAGUUGACAUAUAUAAGCCACUUUGGACAACAGUGUCUGCUAAAGGUAAUGGUAGAAAACAGCAGAUAGCAUGUUUAUACAUGUAGUUCAUGUCAGGCAACAUGCUUUAGCCAAAAGGAAACAGAGUGACUCACAACGGCGUCAUGGUUUCUCUUUGGUGUAGAUCCUAUCCAGUAAGGAUUAAGGGACAUUUCUGACUAUGGUCCUGUUGUAAGCCUAAUUGGGUCAUUCCGUGUCAAAUCAGACAAGGUUGUUGCUGAACCAUCUCAGAUUUUGUUUAAACCUGAUCUAUAUCAAGAAUGGGUCCCAAAACUAAUGCAAGGCCUGUACAAUAUUUCUGUUCAAAUCCUUUGUCUUAGUAGUAGUAGUAACUUGAAAAUCUAUGUGAAAGUAGCUCAGUGUAUGGGUAUUUAGUGUAGAAAGUGCCAAUAUAAAUAAAUUGAGUCAAAAUCAUUGUUUUGCCUCAGGGUCAAAAAUGAAAACCCAUAGGUAUAUGCAAUGUAACCAAGUAAGU